UCUGCUCUUGUGCUCAGAUUGCUUGGUCCUGAUGAGAUAGAGGAGAGUGAUUGUGUGGGCACUGUUUUUCAGAUUCCUGUAACCACCAUCUAGAAGUUCUACAAAGUCCUCUGGGAACUCAUUUCUUCUUCUCUGCCUGGGUUCAGUCUCACAGCUUGGUUUCUGGUUAACAAGAACUUCUUUUGUGUACACUGCUUUUGCGGUUGUCCUAUUGGGCACCUUCUUCCCAUGCCUUGGUGGUAAGAGUAGUCAAUCCACCUGAGGAGCCAAGCAGAAAUGGCAAUGUCCUCCUAAUCUCCUAAUUCCUCUUCCUUGUUCCUUCUGCCUAAUGUGAAGGGAAUGUGGAGUAGUGUUUGCCAGGUAGAACCAGUUUCUGGCUGCCUCUGUCUCUUGGUCUCUGAGUCUCUCUGUCUCUCUGAGUCUCUCUCUCUCUCUCUCUCUCUCUCUCUCUCUCUCUCUCUCUCUCUCUCUCUCCUUUUCUUCCACCAAUUCAGAUCCAAAACUUUUCCUUUAUAUCUCUUCUGACUUUUCUUAUUUUGAUUCUCUGCUUUAUUGGCACACACUAAGGCAGCCUCUAGUCUAUGAUCUUAGAAUGAAACCUUCCUAAUAUAUUAUUAAGUUUGAUUUUCCAGGAAAUGAAAAGCCCAUGUGGGGUAAUAAAAUGAUUUGCACAGAAAUGGAAAUUGCAUAGGUAUAGAUUAUCUUGAAUGUUGAUAAUUACAGCUUGUCUGAGGCUUUGGAAGACGUACAUAAUAUCACUUCUGAAUGUACAAAGGUUUUGGUUGUUAUGCAGGUUUGGCCUGAUAGUUGAGGAAGAGUUUUCAUAAUGCCCUGCCUCAUUUGCUUCCUGUCAGAUACACAGUAGAACAUAUCUUUAGUCAUGAAAAUCUCUCUUGGUGCUUCUAGGGUAUGCUCAACAAGAAAGACUUUGUCUCCCAGGAAAACUAGCUCUGUGUGAUAAAAUAAGUAAAUAAAAAUUCUGGAAUAUGCUGAACUCCCUAGUGGUUUUAAGUAUUUGUUCCAUCCACAUGCCUUUAAUAAGGAAGUAAUAUAAAAUGUUUGUCCCCAGCCUAGAGGACAGCCCGAUGAACUUUCUUCCUUCUUUAUAUUUGUGUUACAAGAUUCAAAUGUGAUAAAGAAUAAUCACUCUAGUUCAAAGUCCAUUUGAGCAAAUGGCAGUUUGAGUAAUGUUUAACCCAGUGAUCAUGACAAUAUUUACCCUUACUGUCAUCUUUUCCAGUAAUCUAAGAAAAUGGUGCUAGACUUCUAGUUACCAUAAGGAAAGCAACAGCAAACAGUUUCUUCUUUCUUCAAAGGGAAUAAUCUAAGUAUUUUAUAUUUUCAUAAUUAGUUAAUCCAAAUACUGUGUUGAUAUACUAUAUUUAUAAUUGUCUCUUUCAUUUCCUCUUUGUUAUAGCUAAGGAUAUACAUUCUAUGUGUCUUAUACAUUAGCAUCCCUUCGCCUCCAGGAAUACUACAAAGUAGACCAUUUUUGACUCAAGAGUUCUAAGAAGCCUUGUUUGCGCUUUGUUUUGGUGGUGAUAGGAACUGAAUCCAGUGCAUUGUGCAUUCUAAACAGGCAGCAGGAAAAGAGGAGCCACUGAUCCCAGCUUGGACUCCUGAGCCCCAAAGCCAACCUCCAGUAACACACCUUUUCUAAGAAGACCACACCCACUCCAACAAGGCCACACCUCCUAAUCUUUCUCAAGGACUGCCACUCCCCAAUGACCCAGAAUUCAAAUGGAAGAGCCUACAGGGGCCAUUCUUAUUCUAACACCAUAGUUAGCUAUUAUCUGUGCUGUAGGGAAGUUAUCGUUUGUUUUACAGGACUUGGAGGUAUUACCUUUCCAUAGUAUUUAUUCUGUGAGUAGUCAAGACUUAUUAAAAAGUCUGACCAACUCAAAUGAAUAUUGUUGUAGGUGUGGACCAGAGUCCAUGGGACAUCUGCUGAUAGUUUCUUUUCUUUUACUUUCUUUUUGGUCCUAAAUAGAAGUGGAUCCAGAGCACAUGGCUAAUGAUAAAUUUUUUAAAAAAGAGAAAGGCACUCUGGAAAAUCAAACUGAUCUAGAGAACUAAGAAAGGGAGGCCUGAGUCUGAAUAGCCUUGCCCCAGAACCAUGCCAUUUAUAGGUCAUUUAUAUAUAGCACCACUUUCCCCGUGGGACUCUCUGGGCUUUCCUUUCACAUGCUUUAUUUUGUAGCCCUGAAUGAGUUUCCACUCUUCUUUUUUUCAAACUUGCAUAUUUCAUAUGUUAAUCAGAUGAUUCACUACCCCCACUCUUCUCCCAAGGAAUCUCUAUCUGCUGGAACAUGAACAUUUCACAGAACCCUUGAAAAUACACAGAAUCCUUGCAAUUCAUUCCUAUCACUGGUAACCACAAGGAGAAAUGGGUAAUGCAUACUUAAGUGUUCUCUAUAAAACAUGUCAUGGAUAAGGAAGACAAAUAAUAAAACUAACUUAAGAAACUUAAAACUCUUUAUUCUCCCAUAGAAAUUACAACAACAAUAAUCACCCAAUUCAGGGUCGCAUUUUCUAUCACAUACAAAAAUAUACAUUUGAAUGCAUAAUAUUUGUUGGGGUAUCAGCAAUAGAAGGUAAAGACAGCGUGGUGGAAGGGCAGAUCCCAACAAAGCACAAUGAUCUAGAUCCAUGAAAACUACAUGCAUGAAAUGUCAUAACUGAGCUCAUUAUUGUGUGAGCUAACUAAGAAAGAUAAUUACAAUAAAAAGGAUUAAGUUUAUGGUAUUUUGAAAUACCAUACUUCACAACUGCCGAGCAAGCAUGAAACCAAAAAGGUUAUUUUCAAAGGGGUGAACAUUUUGGUUAUCUGUAAAGCAAUUGCUUUACCACAACUUGUCACAUUUACCAAACAGGAAAAAAAAAAAGAUUAAAAAAACCCAACAUCCUGGUUUGAAAUGUGCUAACGAGACCUAGCUGCCUGAAAACUCAUCUCUUUCUUUAACUCAGAUAGCUCUUGGCUGACUUGCUAUUUUCUUUUGAGAAUAUAGUGAUUACCAUCUCUCCAAAUAACAUGGCCCUCCUUGCCACUCUCUUUCCUCCCUGCAACUUCUGUUACUCCUGUUAGGUUUGCUCAUCUUGGUCCUAUCAUUGUGUAUAUUGUCUCCUGUCUUGGCUCCUUGCUCUUCAGCCUGAAGGGCACUCUGUAUCAACAUGGCACCAAUAUCACAUCAGUACUCCCUUCUGCAAGGACCAAUCUGAUCUGAAACCUAUUGUUGUCAAUUCUUACACUUUUUAGGUUUCUGUGACAGGGGCCCAGACUUUGGCACUACUGUCUCCAUGACUGAAGUACCAUUCAGGCCAUUGAACUCAGCACAUAGAUAUAGGUGGCACCACCUGCCAAAAUGAAAACAAAUUCCUAAUCCAUCAAGGUCCAUAGUUAUGGGAAGGUCCUUAAAUGUACUAACCUUGCAGGAGUUUUUGUUUUUUGGUAUUUGAGGGGGGGAGGUUUGUUUGUCUUUUUUUUUUUACUUUCAUAGUUCUGCUUCUGACAAACUGUGCUUGUUAACAGAAGUAUGUCAACCUAGGAUCUGUUUUGUGUGUGUGUGUGUGUGUGUGUGUGUGUGUGUGUGUGUGUGUGUGUGUGUGUGUGCACAUAAAGGCCUGAUGGUAUACUGGGAUCCUGAAUAUCCGGUGUGCUCUCCAGCCAGCUAAUAAAGAUCUAUAUUGGCUUAAGUCUAUAGCAGGCACUGUUUUCUGGUGGAUACCCUACAACAGUCUCCAUUAACCUUUAUUUAGAAAUUCUACUUCUCUGGUGGAUCUUCAUGGGAACUUAUUGAUGCCAAGAGUAACUUAGACACUCCUCUCUCCUGCAUCUAGAGUCCCACCCAGAAUUUAGCUUAAUGCUUAAUGACAACUACAUAAUGGUUCUAAAAUACCACUGAAUUGCAGAUCACAGUUGCUUACCCCUAUGAUAAAAAAAAUAAAAAUAAAAUUAAAAAUCCCCAAACAGAAAACCAGGAGGACAAUUGACAACCCACCUUUGAGACCCCCUUCUGUUGGGACAGCGUAAAAGUGUAGCUUAUUCUUACCCACUCCCUGUGCUCCAGACAUAGUAAUAAUACAUCUCAGUGAAUGUUCUUACUUAGUCAAUGAGUCUGAGAGUAAUAGUUCCACCUUGCAGAUGAAGUUUCCAGCAAGAGGCUAAUAUGUCUAAGUUCCCUGUAAGUGACAGAAAACAUAGCCAAAUGAUCUGCUUGGAACUUCUGUAAAAGAAGACAAAGUAAGAAAAGAAAAGGUCAAAAAUUACCCCCAAGUGUUCUGCUUAUUUAAAAUCUUUCGGUUUCUACAUUGCUAAAUGUUAUUCAUAAAUGAGUCAUGGGGUUUUAAAGACAUGAAUAAUCACUUAAUGUCCAUUCACCUCCAGCCAGUGUUCCAGGAGUGUCCUGUGUAAGGAACACCCGAAACUGAAAGAAAUACCUGUGUUUGCCUUGUCUUGAAAAGUCAGAAAAGGCAAUAAUUUGUCCUGUGAGCACUAAUCUAAGAAAAUUCAGGGUCAAGAACUCAGGCUAGGGAAUAAUUGCACAAUUUACCACUGAAAUGUCUGUCAGCAUCAGCUAAAUAGGAAAGUAAUCCUUAAGGUUGAGAAAAAUAUCUUCCAGUUUAAGGAAGUUCCAAAGAGGUAAAAGUGAAUGAGUAUGGCCAAGAAAUUACUGAAGCUUAAUUAGACACACAUUAUAAGAAGAAAGAAGACUAACACUAACUCCACUUCUCAUGAAUUCCCAAUACUGAACUGUUAUAAAUGUUGUGAUUACAGAGUCACAUUUUCCUGAUUAUGUCAACAUGCAUCCAUAUGCCCAAUAACUGAUACAGUAUAAAUGAAGUUUUCAGUAUUGGGAUGAAAUUGGGCCUCAUGAGAACUGAACUCUUUGCCCAACCCAGUGCCAACUGAGGUGCUAAAACCUGUGGUCAGACUGCUUCACAGGAAGUCAUGGUGUGGACAGAGGCACACAGCUAGAGUGAUGGUAAUGUCACUUAGAAAGGAGAUUUGCUCCUUUCUCUCAACUUUUAAAAUUAAUGGUUUAUUCAGAAGACAAAAAUUAGUGACUAAUUGAAUACAAAAGGAAAAGAAAAAGCUCUUUGGGGUUAGUCAUUGGUACCCACAGAGAAAAUUCCAGUGACUAAAAUCAAAAACUGUCAUAAGAACUUGAUAUAUUGCAAUAGUUGAACAAGUAAAAGCAGAUCAAAAGUUAUGAAUAUUGCUUACAUCAGUUUUCCUCUGCCACAUUGCCCUAGGACUCUCUGCCUUUGAAAAUCUGACUGGUGUUAGAGAUGCUAAAUGAGUGAAGACCAUAAAAUAGAACAUAUUAUGAGACAAAAGGCCACACUUCUUGUAGCAUAACAAGUCUGUCUUCAAUAUGGCCCUUGAAGCCAUGGUUGUUUCAAUUCAACACACAUAAAUAAGCAACAUAAUGUCUCCAAAGACACACUUGUCCCAAUCCCCAAACACAUUAGGUCACAUCACAGAGGGUACUUCCCGGGUGGUUAAAUUAGGGGUAUUAAGAUGAAGAGGGUUUUUUCUGGGUUAAGCAGAGAGCCUGACCUAAUCCUGGAGUUCCUCAUUAGAGAAGACAAGAGAUCACUGACAGACAGAAAGCUGAAGGUACUAUGCUGUUGGCUCGGAAAGUGGAGCAAGAGACCAUUGGUAUGGUAAACAGUUUAGAGACUAUCAAAGCUAGGAAACAGUGUCUGCUCUCAACCCUCCAAACGAAAAAUGAGUAUGGUAUUGAUUUUGGUCCAAUACAAUCCGCUCUGAACCUUUGGUCUUCAGAACUAUGCAAUUAUGAUUAAGCCAAUUGCUUUAGUAUAUUUUUGUUGUCAUAAAAUUUGUCAUGCGAUGUGAAGUUCAUAAACAACAGAAUAUCCAAGAUAAUUGAGAUGGCAAAUCUGACAUCAUUUGAUUUAUGGAUGAUGUCUUCUAGUUUUGUUUUCACAUGGUAGACUAAUGAAGUGUUUUUUUUUUUUUUUGUGUGUGUGUGUGUGUGUGUGUGUGCACUUACCUAAGGGCACUAAUUCUAUUUAUAGGGGUUCCUCCUCACGACCAGCUCAUGUCUCAAAAGCUACAAGUCUUGAUGUCAGGACUUUGGGCAUCUGGAUGUGUCGAUACAUGAAAGGAGAGCAUAAUACUUCUGACCACAGCACUACUGUUUUUUUUUUAUCAUUAUUAUAAAGUAUUAGUUUAGCUUGCUCAUUCUCAAGAUCUAUUUAGAUAACAUAUUAGGUACAUUCCUAGAUAGGUUUAGUCUGAGAAAUAAAAUCCAUGACUUAGAUAAAAGUUCCCAAAUAACAUGCUAACAUACUGAUAAUAAAGUUAUCAUUAACUUUUUGAUCAUUAAUUCUGCUUAAGCUGUACUACAGACCUACUUGCCUUCUCUGCUGCUGUAAUAAAACAUUGAUCAAAAGAAAUUUGGGUGAUAAAAGUAAUGAUUGGCUUACACUUUCACAUAACAAUCUAUCACUGAGCAAAACCGGGGAGGGUGCCUAGAUACAUGAACUGAUGCAGAACUCAGAGGAACUCACUGCUUACUGGUCUACUCCUCAUGGUCUUUCUCAUACAACCCACAACCACCUGCCAGAGGUAGCACCACUGAAAGUGAGCUGGACUCUCCCACACCAAUCAUUAAUUAAGAAAAUAUCCUACAGUCUUGCCUUCUGAUGGAGGCAUUUUUUUUUUCAACAGAGAUUCCCUCUUCCUAGAUGUUGUGUCAGGUUGACAAAGAACUAAGCAGCACUAUCAUCAUGUCAGAUCUUUCUGGAUUGCUUUUCAUUCCCGAGAGUGCCUACAGCCUUUCCCUUCAGAGUUCAAAUCCAGAAGUUUUAUGCAUGGAUAAGCACGGGCUAGGGUCUGUUUUGCCUGGUGAGUACCUGUUUCAACAUCCCACAUCAAUGCAUCUUCAGUGAUAAAAAGGAUAGUGUCCUUUGCUCCAGUGCUGCAGCGUGAAAAGUAUCUGCAGGAAAUAUUGGAAGAAAGUCCUUAAGCACAAUUCCAUAAACCUACAAACUGAUUGUCUCUCCUUUCUACUUCCUGUAGUCUCUCUAUCAUUUCUCUUACUCUCUAUGUUUUUUUUUCCUAUGUUCCCUCCCAGUCAACUGGUUCCUUGCUCUACCUUUUGACCUAUGGUUGAAUUUAUUGAAGCCUGUUUACAAUAUUUAAACAGGAAGCUUUUGGAUUAAAGAUGUGUGCUAGGGCUGUGCCACACCUAGAAACAGAAAUCUAGUUGUACAACUAGAAAUCAGGUUUUCCACUAAACAACCCAAUCUCAGAGCUCCCAGUAUGAGCAACUAGCCUACAGGUAUGCUUGUGUACCACCUGCACUCCUGAUACACACAGAGGUGAAAGAGGGUAUCAGAUUUCUUGAAAUUUGAGCUACAAUCACUUGUAAUUCACCACGUGAAUUCUGGGAACUGAACCCGGGGUCUCUGUGGGAGCAAAAAGUGCUCUUAACUCAAUAAGUGAACUCCUUAGCCUCCAAUGGUGGAGUUCUUAAUGAGUACAUAUAGAUACAUAUUUUUGUUCCUUGAAGACCCAACAAUUUUGGUGUGCAAUAUGUACAGUAUGCAGCUCUCAUGCUGAAAGAUUCCUGAAGGCUUCAUACUAUGCCAUCAUGCUUUGAAAUUAUUAAUGUAGAACAAGGCACUCUAGAGAUUUAAUUUUACAUGAUCCUUUAAAUUUUAUAACAGGUCUUAACAGUGCAUAAGACAGACAAGUAUUUUUGCUUUAUCUAAUAUAGCUUUGAUCAUGACUAGUUUUUGUUUGGAUUCUCUAUAGAUUUUUUUUUUCAGUCACAGGAACAUUGCAAAAGUGCCACACAUUCUCUUUGCUCCUUUUUCCAUUGAUAGAUAUACUCUUUUGUUUUUGGAUUUGGUAUUUUUUUAACAUUUUCUGAAAUUCUUUUUUAGGCCUGCCUACAAAGGAAUGGUUUCCAUCAUGUAGGUUUACUCAUAUAUGACAUUGUACUACUUUCUCGUUCAUUCUCCUUCUCUACUUGACCUCAUCUCAAGAGUAGACACUCCUUAUCUCAAUGGCUCUGGG
ensembl:lncRNA